GAGUGAACGCUGGCGGUAGGCCUACCACAUGCAAGUCGAACGGCAGCACAGUAAGAGCUUGCUCUUACGGGUGGCGAGUGGCGGACGGGUGAGGAAUACAUCGGAAUCUACUUUUUCGUGGGGGAUAACGUAGGGAAACUUACGCUAAUACCGCAUACGACCUACGGGUGAAAGCAGGGGAUCUUCGGACCUUGCGCGAUUGAAUGAGCCGAUGUCGGAUUAGCUAGUUGGCGGGGUAAAGGCCCACCAAGGCGGCGAUCCGUAGCUGGUCUGAGAGGAUGAUCAGCCACACUGGAACUGAGACACGGUCCAGACUCCUACGGGAGGCAGCAGUGGGGAAUAUUGGACAAUGGGCGCAAGCCUGAUCCAGCCAUACCGCGUGGGUGAAGAAGGCCUUCGGGUUGUAAAGCCCUUUUGUUGGGAAAGAAAAGCAGCAGGUUAAUACCCCGCUGUUCUGACGGUACCCAAAGAAUAAGCACCGGCUAACUUCGUG
rnacentral:rRNA from 1 species